rnacentral:rRNA from 1 species
UAAGUCCCCUGGAACGGGGCGUCAUAGAGGGUGAGAAUCCCGUAUGUGAUCGGUUGCCUUAGCCAUGUGAAUCUCCUUCGACGAGUCGAGUUGUUUGGGAAUGCAGCUCUAAAUGGGAGGUAAAUUUCUUCUAAAGCUAAAUACCGGCCAGAGACCGAUAGCGCACAAGUAGAGUGAUCGAAAGAUGAAAAGCACUUUGGAAAGAGAGUUAAAAAGUACGUGAAAUUGUUGAAAGGGAAGCGCUUGCAGUCAGACUUGUCCGCGGUUGCUCAGCCGGUCUCUUGACCGGCGUACUCUUCCGCGGCCAGGCCAGCAUCAGUUCGGGCGGUCGGAUAAAGGCCCCGGGAAUGUAGCUCCUCUCGGGGAGUGUUAUAGCCCGGGGUGGAAUGCGGCCAGCCUGGACUGAGGAUCUCGCUUCGGCUAGGAUGCUGGCGUAAUGGCUGUAAGCGGCCCGUCUUGAAACACGGACCAAGGAGUCUAACAUCUAUGCGAGUGUUUGGGUGUCAAACCCAUACGCGUAAUGAAAGUGAACGGAGGUGGGAACCCUCACGGGUGCACCAUCGACCGAUCCUGAUGUCUUCGGAUGGAUUUGAGUAAGAGCAUAGCUGUUGGGACCCGAAAGAUGGUGAACUAUGCCUGAAUAGGGUGAAGCCAGAGGAAACUCUGGUGGAGGCUCGCAGCGGUUCUGACGUGCAAAUCGAUCGUCAAAUUUGGGUAUAGGGGCGAAAGACUAAUCGAACCAUUAACCGGGCACGCUUUUUCAAAAGCGGGCUGCUAGGUGGUUAAGAGGCGACGUUGUAAAGCGUCGGCCUAGUCCCUCCAUUCGGGGCAACACUGUUAAAUUGUUCGGGGACCUCCUUAGAGCCUAAGCUACCGCGGCCGCGUCGAAAGACGCGGUGCAGCACCAGGGUAACGACCUCGGGUACGGUAAACAACGCUUAGGAUUGGACAACCCGCAGCCAAGCUCCUACGGCCCUCGUGGCACGGAGAAGGUUCACAGACUAGAUAGCAGUGGGUCCGGCAGCGAUGCCGGGCUUAAGAUAUAGUCGAUCCCCACGGAGACGUGGGCGG